CUGUGCGUGUGACAGCGGCUGA
rnacentral:ncRNA from 25 species